rnacentral:lncRNA from 1 species
GAUUCUAAGAUAAUCGAGUACACACUUAACUCUUAUCUCUUUCAUGUCUCUACCUUUUCUUCAUUAUCUCUUUCGUGUCUUCGCCUUUUUUUCAUUUUGUAUCUACAAUUACUUAAAUCAUGCGUCUAAUAAUACAAUUUGUGUGGUUAAUUAGACUUCCGUAGGGAGGAUAUUAAUAAAUUUAAUUUGAGUGAAUAAUCAUUAUUUCAAUCUUUUAUAUUUCUCAAAUAAAGCAACUGUCAUAGAGCAGUCAGUUUUAAUGAGUCAUACUCAAGAUUUUAUCCUUUAAAGAAGUCUUAUCUAGUAGCCAAUUUUAAUUAAUAUCCUCCGUGGAGAGCUUAUUUAAUUUGAGGCGAGAUAUUAAUCUACUUUACUAUAGAACCAAUAAUGGAGGUUGUGGGCUUUAUGCCUAGAACCCUUUGCCACUCAACUUUUUGUUAGAGAUUUCUUUUAAUAUUCUCAAUUGAUUAUUUAAUUGACAUUCCACCAAUUAAUAUUUAAUUUUAUAAAAAAAUAAAAUAAUUAAUUAGGUUAGGUGAAUAUUAUAAUCAAUUUAAUAUUAGAUCAUGAUAUUAAUCUUAUUCUAAUCUCGUUAGACUAUUAAUAUCAAAAUUUAUGUAUAUGCAGGAACAUGUGAAUGUGGCACCCUCUUAAUCUGAAUGACAUGUUGUUCAUCCACUCAAUUAAUCGAAUAAGUAAACAACUUAGAAAAAAUCACAUUAACUUUAUGUCUAAUUUUCAUUGGGCUUCCUGUUAAUGUUCUUUUUUUCAAAUACUUGAUUAAUGAGCUAGGACUGCUUGGGUUUUAAAAUUUAUUAUUGUUCCAUUUAAUUUUAUUUUAAAAUAGCAGAACCAUAAUUUUGAAAUAACUUUGAAUAAAAUUUUUGGACCAAAAUAAAAUUUAAUAUGUUAAACUUUAAAUAUGUGUUUUAAUCCACCAAGCUCAAUUUAUAACGGACCUAAAUCUAGCAUUCGUUAAGCUUAAAAGGGGUUUAAGACUUAAAUGCAAGUCUCCUUCACCAUUCUGCCCAAAAAGCAAAUUAUUUUGAAAUUCAGGGACCAUAGUGAUAGAAAUCACCAAAUCCCAUGUCCAGCCUUUUCUUUUUCAGCCGCCGACAUCAAAACCAGCCACCAUGUGCAAAAUUCGCUGUCCAGCCGGAGCUUUGCCGUGGUCCAGCCACGCUCCUCGUCGCUGGAAGCAACCCGUGAAGCCACUGAGCUGCCUAAGGCAGCCGUAACUCUCGCGCACCGCAGCGGCUACACGCCACCAUCCCGUGACAAAACACAGCCCUCGCCGGAGCUUGAUAAGAAGCUACGCAGAACUAAUCGUGUAGCCAAGCCCAACAGCAAGUACUUGGAAUAUGCAUGGGCACGUCAUUAGCCAUGCAACCUUUGAGAUGAUGAUUUGGAGCUGACUUCUUCAAAUUAACCGUUGCUUAUUUGGAGGAGAUCUUUCAUGCAAGUAUUUGUUUUGGAAUAAUAGUCAGGUUGUUGAGAUGUUGUUAACGACUUGAUUUAGCUAGCUUUGUUCAAGCCUUGUUUCACUGCUAAGGAAAUUAAUUUUGUAUUAGACUAUAAAUAAGCUCUUUUAUUCAAUAAUAAGAUCAUCAGAUUUUUAUUCCAAAAACAUUAUUUGAGGUAGUUCUCGCCCAAAGAAGAACAAGCAAUUUACUUUGUCAAUUCUGCUAGCUUUGACUGGGACCUCUAUUAGUGGUAUCAGAGCUAGGUUAGGAUGGCAACCAACAAAGAGCGUAUCGAGCGAAUAGAAACAGAGGUCGGAGAUAUACAAGACAAGAUGCAACGGAUGGAGUUGGGGAUCAAUGACAAAUUGGCACACAUUGAGGCAACAUUAAGCAAGCUUGCGGACUCAAUUAAUACUUCAAGAGGGUCGCCAAGUAUCAACAACAAUAAUGCAUCUUCACGACUGGGCCGAGAAGUCAGUACAGGAGGGCCUCAACAUUUCCAAUCCAAGGUAGCAAAACUAGAAUUCCCUCGCUAUUCGGGCGACAACCCCACCGAAUGGUUCAAUCGUGCAAGUCAGUUCUUCGAAUACCAGGAAUCAACAGACGAUCAGAAAGUGGUUCUAGUGUCAUUCCACUUGGAGGGGGAAGCAAAUCAGUGGUGGCAGUGGCUUCGAAGGUCUUAUCAAGAUGAAGGCAAAGUCGUGACUUGGGAGGUGUUUGUGGAGGAGUUAUGGGCAAGGUUUGGACCGACAGACUGUGAAGAUUUCGACGAGGCUCUCUCACGUGUUAAACAAACCAGUACUCUCUGUGACUACCAGAAGGAAUUUGAACGACUCGGAAACCGUGUUCAAGGCUGGACACAGAAGGCACUUGUUGGCACAUUCAUGGGAGGGCUUAAACCAGAGAUAUCUGAAGAAAUUCGGCUGUUUCGACCGAGGACUCUCAAGGAAGCAAUCAGCUUGGCAAGAAUGAGAGAUGAGCAAAUGACCCGACAACGGAGACUGUUGAGAUCACCAAUCUUCAAUCGUUCACCAACGGCUCAAGUCACCAACCAACGUGCUUCACUAACAGUACCCUUUAAGAGACUUUCUUGGGAGGAGAUGCAAAAACGCAGGUCACAAGGAUUAUGUUUUAACUGUAAUGAAAAAUUCUCUGCAGGUCAUAAGUGCAUAAAGGCGCAGUUGUUAAUCUUAGAAGCGGGUGAUAACGAAGAGUCCACAGAAACAAUGCAACAUGAGUAUGAGACAGAAGAGCACGACAAACCUAAAAUAACAUUUUAUGCUUUGGCGGGUUGGGCUGCUCCUCAGACAAUGUGAGUGAAAGCUAAGAUUGGGCCACACGAGAUCAUUGUACUAGUGGACAGCGGCUCAACGCACAAUUUUAUCUACUCGCGUUUGGCUAAUAUGCUUCAGCUCCCAGUUCAACCGACAUCAGCAUUUCCAUUAAAAGUGGCCAACGGAGAGAAAGUUAUUUGCCAGGGGAAACAUGACAAGGUACAUGUUUUAAUUCAGGACAUCCCUUUUGAACUUACUCUCUACUCAUUGCCGAUUACAGGACUCGACGUGGUGCUUGGUGUCCAAUGGCUUGAAAGCUUAAGGUCGGUGGUUUGUAAUUGGAAACAAUUGACAAUGGACUUCGAUUGGGAUAAUGCUAAGCGAAGGUUGCAAGGGCUGGAUCCACAAACAAUUCAAGCUACAACAUUAUCUGAAGUCACCAAAGAUAUGAAACAAGGGCACAACAUGUUUGCUAUAUGUCUCUAUUUAAACAAUGAGGAAUCAUAUGCAGUAGCACCGGCCAGCAUGAGGAGUUUGCUAGAAGAAUAUUCCGAGCUGUUCAUGGAGCCCAAACAACUCCCACCAACACGGGAAAUCGACCACCAAAUCACUCUUAAAGAAGGAACAGAACCAAUUAAUGUGAGACCCUACUGGUACGCUUAUUUCCAAAAAGCGGAGAUUGAGAGACAAGUGAACGAAAUGUUAUCUUCCAGACUCAUUCGACCAAGCACCAGCCCCUUCUCAUCACCGGUACUCCUAGUAAAAAAAAAAUAGCAGUUGGAGGUUUUGUACGGACUACAGAGCACUCAACGAGGCCACAGUAAAAGACAGAUUUCCAAUACCAACAGUAGAAGACAUGUUAGAUGAAUUGCACGGUGCAACAUUCUUCACCAAACUAGACCUCAGAGCCGGCUACCAUCAGGUACGGCUAAACUCAUCAGAUAUAUAUAAGACGACUUUUCGCACACACAAUGGCCAUUAUGAAUAUAUGGUCAUGCCAUUCGGCUUAUGCAAUGCUCCCUCUACUUUUCAAGCAAUUAUGAAUGCUAUUUUUCGGCCCCAUCUUCGAAAAUUUAUAUUGGUAUUUUUUGACGACAUCUUGAUUUAUAGUCCCACAUGGGAAUGUCAUUUGAAACACGUUAGACAAACCUUGGAAAUUCUUAAACAGCAGUAAUUUUUCGUCAAGGCUAGCAAGUGCAAUUUUGGCCAGCAAGAACUUGAAUAUUUGGGACACAUCGUCACUUGCCAUGGUGUGAAGGUGGAUGAACGGAAAAUUGCAGCAAUGGUGUCAUGGCCAAAGCCACGGAAUAUUACAGAGCUAAGGGGAUUUUUAGGCCUAACAGGGUAUUAUCGCAAGUUCGUUUGUGGGUAUGGCCUGUUAGCCCGGCCCCUAACCAAUCUUCUUAAGAAAGGACAAUUUAGGUGGAAUACUGAAGCUGUAGCAGCAUUUGAGCAUUUGAAACUUGCCAUGACUCAAACUCCAGUACUUUCUAUGCCUAAUUUUACCGAUGUUUUUGUUAUUGAAACUGAUGCAUCCGGUGAUGGCAUAGGAGCAGUACUGCAGCAAAACGGCAAACCAAUAGCUUACAUGAGUCGAGCGUUGGGUAUAACAAAAAAGAUUUGGUUGACAUAUGCAAAAGAGAUGUUGGCAGUGGUAGAGGCGGUCAGAUUUUGGAGGCCUUAUUUAUUGGGGCAACGAUUUGUGAUACAAACAGAUAAAAAAAGCUUAAAAUAUCUCUUGGAGCAGAAGAUAGCAACUCCUGAUCAACAGCAAUGGAUGGUCAAACUCAUGGGUUACGAUUACGAAAUCCGAUACCGCCCCGGCAAGGAAAAUGCUGCUGCCGAUGCACUCUCUAGAAGAACUGACAGCCCAACUCUUAAUCAUCUUUUUGUACCGCAGGUGUCACUAUGGGGAGAAAUUAAAAAGGCUAUGCAUGAAGAUGAUUAUCUAAAGAAGAUUGCACAACAAGCUGAGACUCAACCCGACGGCCCUUACACGGCAAAAAACGGCCUCAUAUUCUUCAAAGGCAGGGUAGUAGUUCCACGGAAGAUGCGUGACUUAUUAUUAUUUGUGGCCCACAAUACGAAAAUAGGAGGGCAUUCCGGAGUCCUUCGCACUUACAAACGCCUGGCGCAGCAAUUUUACUGGCCCUCAAUGUUUCAAUCCGUUCAUGAUUAUGUAAGUAAGUGCGUUGUUUGCCAGAAGACUAAGAGUGAAACGCUGCAACCAGCAGGGCUUCUUCAACCAUUGCAUGUUCCUUGCCAAGUCUGGGAGGAUAUUUCUUUAGAUUUUAUUGAAGGGCUGCCUAAUUCACAAGGAAGAGAUACAAUAUUUGUGAUAGUCGACAGGCUCAGUAAAUUUGCACACUUCCUUUCCUUGUCUCACCCAUUUACUGCUAAAUCUAUUGCUGAAAGAUUUGUUGACGGAGUAGUAAAACUACAUGGCAUGCCCAAGAGUAUUGUAAGUGAUCGGGAUCCAAUAUUUAUUAGCAAAUUUUGGAGUGAAUUUUUUACACUGUCAGGCACACACUUGAAGAUGAGUUCAGCCUAUCAUCCGCAAACGGACGGCCAAACAGAGGUUGUUAACAGAUGUCUGGAGCAAUAUUUACGCUGCUUUGUGCACCAGUGGCCAUGCAAGUGGAACAUGUAUCUGUCGUGGGCUGAGUUUUGGUACAAUACCACUUUUCAUGUAUCCACCGGAAUGACUCCUUUUCAAGCUCUCUAUGUGGCCACGCAAGUGGAACAUGUAUCUGUCGUGGGCUGAGUUUUGGUACAAUACCACUUUUCAUGUAUCCACCGGAAUGACUCCUUUUCAAGCUCUCUAUGGCCGGCCUCUACCUUCUAUCCCCAUGUAUUCGAUCGGGUCUUCCCCGGUUCACGAAGUUGAUCACGCCUUACAGACCAGAGAUGAGUUAUUGUGGCAACUAAAAUCUAACCUUAUUGCAGCGGCUAAUCGAAUGAAACAGACGGCAGACAAGAAAAGGAGGGAUGUCGAAUUCAAAGAAGGAGACAUGGUGUACUUGCGCUUGCAUCCCUACCGGUAAUCUUCAGUUUUUAAACGUGCACAUCAAAAAUUAUGCAGCAGGUAUUUUGGACCAUAUCAAAUAAUUCAAAAAGUGGGGCAUGUAGCUUAUAAGCUCCAGUUGCCAGAGGGUGCCAAGGUCCAUUCUACAUUUCAUGUUUCAGUACUAAAAAAAGCAAUGGGAGAUUCGACAGUGAGCAGCACGGAGUUACCUCCUACAGAUGAUGAAGGUGUGCUGGAUUUGGAACCUAAAUUAGUUCUGGACACUCGGUGGCUUAAAAGAGGUGGUAAUGUUAUUGAGCAAAGUCUGAUUCAAUGGAACAAUCUACCAAUGGAAGAGGCCACUUGGGAAGAUACUACCGUCAUUAAGCAACAGUUUCCUUCGCUGACCUUGAGGACAAGGGUCCUCUUCCACGGGGGAGUGAUGAUAAGAAGCUACGCAGAACUAAUCGUGUAGCCAAGCCCAACAACAAGUACAUGGAAUAUGCAUGGGCACGUCAUUAGCCAUGCAACCUUUGAGAUGAUGAUUUGGAGUUGACUUCUUCAAAUUAUUCGUUGCUAGGAAUAUGCAUGGGCACGUCAUUAGCCAUGCAACCUUUGAGAUGAUGAUUUGGAGUUGACUUCUUCAAAUUAUUCGUUGCUAAGAAUAUGCAUGGGCACGUCAUUAGCCAUGAAACGUUUGAGGUGAUGAUCUAGAGCUAACUUCUUCAAAUUAACCGUUGCUUAUUUGGAGGAGAUCUUUCAUGCAAGUAUUUGUUUUGGAAUAAUAGUCAGGUUGUUGGGAUGUUGUUAACGAAUUGAUUUAGCUACCUAUGUUCAAGCCUUGUUUCACAGCUAAGGAAAUUGGUUUUGUAUUAGACUAUAAAUAAGCUCUUUUAUUCAAUAAUAAGAUCAUCAGAUUUUUAUUCCAAAAACAUUAUUUGAGGUAGUUCUCGCCCAAAGAAGAACAAGCAAUUUACUUUGUCAAUUCUACUAGUUUUGACUAGGACCUCUAUUAGAGCUUUACAUUGCCGUCCUCACACGGUGCACCACAUCAUCCAUCACUGCCAGCAGCUCAAGCCACCAGCCCGCGAGCAGACGCGCGAGAGAGCCAGUCAUCAGUGUCACCACUCCCGAGCACAAAUUGCUCCACUGCCGCACACAAUUUUCGCUGCUGGCUAUCCGUGGUAACGCCGGCGACAUUGCGGCUCUGUGCAUAUGUUGACUUUGUUGUUCUUGUUCUAGGUUUUUAAAUAUUAAUUUUUUUUAUUAAGUAGAAACAGAAUUAAAACCCAAAACUGAACAAGAACCAAUACGAGCAUUAACCAUGGAACAGAGCAAACUACAAGUUAUAAUUGAAUAUAAAUAACAGCAUAAAGAUUAAUGCGGCACCACAAUCUAUUACAAUCAUACAUAAAAUUAAAUGAUACAUGUAUGAUGAAUUAGGAUGGUUAUGAUAUGAUCUUAGAAAAAUAAUUUUUUUAUUUUAUAAAAUAAGCAGAAGCCAGGAAUUUUUCUUAAUUAUGUGUACAUUUGUAGGAUAAGAGAAAUACCUUAGAUUUCUGCUGAAGAACUAAAGAAGAAGAUUGCAAUCUUCUCUCCUAUACUCAAUUUGUUUGCAAUCUUCUCUAUUAUAUUGAAUUAUCUCCCUCACACGUGUGGGUGUAUAAAAAAUCGUAAUUUGUGUGCCGAACAUGGAAAUCUUAGAACUGUAUUUUUCUUAAUUAAAAAGGUUAUACUUUUAUUCUGAAUUCAACUUUUUUAUAUAGAGUUAGUUUGAUUAGAAAUUGAGUUAGUAAAGGGACUGCAGAGCGAAACUUAAUAGUCAAGGGCUAGUCAGCUCAUGACAAACCGAAACUACUAAGUUAAUCUUAAACUAUUCCAUUAAAAGCUUAAAAUUGCACUCUACAAACUCAUGUAAUUAAAUAAAAACUCAACUAAUUAAAACUCCUUUUAAUUAAUUUUAGUUUUAGUCUUUAAACCAAUAAUAGCCACUUAAUUAACCCUCUAUAUGAUACUUAUAAUUAAAGUUAGGACGUUAAUAAAUGUCGUGCCUCCAUUAAUUACAUAUUUACCCCUAACUCACUAUUUGUUCUAAUGAUCACUUUUAAUAUAUCUAUAUUUUUAAAUAAAUUUAUAAAUCAAAAUUAUUAUUCAACAAACAAUUUAUUGAAUAAACUACAGCCACAUAUUUAAAUGAUCAAGUAUCACAAACAGUUUAGGUGAGUAUCAAUAAUAUAGAUUCCAUCUUGUAAGUAUAUGUUCUUACGAUCCAAGAAAUUACAUUUCCAAGCUAUUGAGUUUUUGACUGUUUAUAUGGAUAUCACUCUGUGAUAACUCAAAAGAUAUGACACAUGAAUGCAAGUUCAUUACCGACUCAGGGUUAAGGUCGAUUAAACUUAUUAAAGCUUUUGUAAAUUAUGGUCAACGACAUUUGUUAAAUUAGAUUAUAAUUCACUAUAGUCUGGUUCAAUAUGCACAUUGCAUAUACAUAUUAACUAUUCUACUAAAAGUCUCCACUUCAGUGAUCAAGAUAAAAUCACUCAUAUAGAAGUAGAAAAGUUACAGCAUUACAUAAUCAUAUGCCCAUUUCAUUAAUAGCUGUGAACAAUAUUUUAUUUAUAAAGAACCUAUGAUAUAUAUCUUCUAGUAUUGACAUUAUAUGCCAAUGCAUAAAU